rnacentral:rRNA from 1 species
UACAGAGGGGGCAAGCGUUAUUCGGAAUUAUUGGGCGUAAAGGGCGCGUAGGCGGCUUUGCAAGUGACGGGUGAAAGCCCUCGGCUUAACCGAGGAACUGCCUGUCAGACUGUAAGGCUUGAGACCGGGAGAGGUGAGUGGAAUUCCCAGUGUAGCGGUGAAAUGCGUAGAUAUCAGGAGGAACACCAAUGGCGAAGGCAGCUCACUGGGACGGUAUUGACGCUGAGACGCGAAAGCGUGGGGAGCAAACAGG